UACGUAGGCAGCAAGCGUUGUCCGGAAUCAUUGGGCGUAAAGAGCGUGUAGGCGGCCCGGUAAGUCCGCUGUAAAAGUCAAAGGCUUAACCUUUGAAUGUCAGUGGAUACUGCCGGGCUAGAGUCCGGAAGAGGCGAGUGGAACUCCUGGUGUAGCGGUGGAAUGCGCAGAUAUCAGGAAGAACACCAACGGCGAAGGCAGCUCGCUAGGACGGUACUGACGCUGAGACGCGAAAGCGUGGGGAGCGAACAGG
rnacentral:rRNA from 1 species